rnacentral:pre_miRNA from 1 species
AAAAAGAGAAACCCUGGGGUUUCUGGUAUCCAACGGUUUGACUGGUGCCGUUCUAAUAUUGAAAUUUUUUUAUUAAUUAGUAUUUUCAUGUUGUGUUAGAUGAUAAAACAUGAUUAAUACUUUAUGCGUGACUUAUCUUUUUAAUUUUUUUCAUAUUUUUUUCAAAUAAUACGGAGGUUAAACGUUGGACACGGAAAUUUAGGGUU